ensembl:lncRNA
CCAACUUAUAAGUGAAUAUGGUCAAUGUUAGAGAGGAGCAAGUCUUCAAACUCCGACUGAAGGUGCACCAAAAACUCAUGAAACAACAGUGAGACGAGAGUCAAGUACAAACCUUCACAGCUGCUGCCCAAAGGAAGAAGAGACCUGAAACCAACAGAAAUAAAAGACUCUGUACCGACUCCUGCAGUGAAGAAAGUGAGUGUGAGCUCUGAGAGCUGCUCCUUACUGUGUUUGGUGGACAGAGAGACCAAACUGCUGUGGUUUAAAGACGAGCAGAGACUGAACCAGAGCAGCUCUGCGCUCUCUCUGCCUCUCACUGUGCACAAACAGGACUUCAGCUCCUCUUACAGAUGUGUGGCUGCAAACCCUGCAGAGAAUAAAACUCUUCCUGUCCAUGUGAGAACGACCUGUGGAGACACCAACAACGACACCAACAGCUCGACUGAACCAAGAAACUAUAACAUCCUCAUUAUAAUCUUCUGUGUCCUGAGUGCUGCCCUCAUCAUCAUCAUCAUCAUCCUCAUCAUGAGGAGGAAGCAUCCUGUCCAAGACAAGUUUAACCUCCUACAAGCU